GUCUACGGCCAUCACACUCAGAACACGGCCGAUCUCAUCUGAUCUCGGAAGCUAAAAAUCUGGUGGUCCUGGAGAUGGUGCAGUGGACA
ensembl:rRNA 5S_rRNA 5S ribosomal RNA